GCUGGGUGUGGUGGCAUCAGCCUGUAGUCCCAGCUACUCAGGAGGGAGGCUGAGACUGGAGGAUCACUUGAGCCCAGGAGUUCUGGGCUGUAGUGCACUACACCAGGUGUCUGCACUGAAUUCGGCAUUGAUAUGGUGACCUCCCAGGAGCAAGGGACCACCAGGUUGCCUAAGAAGAGGUGAACUAGCCCAGGUUGGAAAUGAAACAGGUCAAAACUCCCAUGUUGAUCAGUAGUGGGAUCAUGCUGUGAAUAGCCACUGAACUCCAGCCUGGGCAACAUAGCCAGACCCUGUCUCU
rnacentral:SRP_RNA from 1 species